rnacentral:rRNA from 1 species
UCGAACGAAGCAUUUAAGACAGAUUUUUUCGGAAUGAAGUUUUUUAUGACUGAGUGGCGGACGGGUGAGUAACGCGUGGGUAACCUGCCUCACACAGGGGGAUAGCAGUUGGAAACGACUGGUAAUACCGCAUAAGCGCACAGCUUCGCAUGAAGCGGUGUGAAAAACUCCGGUGGUGUGAGAUGGACCCGCGUCUGAUUAGGUAGUUGGUGAGGUAACGGCCCACCAAGCCGACGAUCAGUAGCCGACCUGAGAGGGUGACCGGCCACAUUGGGACUGAGACACGGCCCAGACUCCUACGGGAGGCAGCAGUGGGGAAUAUUGCACAAUGGAGGAAACUCUGAUGCAGCGACGCCGCAUGAGUGAAGAAGUAUUUCGGUAUGUAAAGCUCUAUCAGCAGGGAAGACAGUGACGGUACCUGACUAAGAAGCUCCGGCUAAAUACGUGCCAGCAGCCGCGGUAAUACGUAUGGAGCAAGCGUUAUCCGGAUUUACUGGGUGUAAAGGGAGUGUAGGUGGUAUCACAAGUCAGAAGUGAAAGCCCGGGGCUCAACCCCGGGACUGCUUUUGAAACUGUGGAACUGGAGUGCAGGAGAGGUAAGUGGAAUUCCUAGUGUAGCGGUGAAAUGCGUAGAUAUUAGGAGGAACAUCAGUGGCGAAGGCGGCUUACUGGACUGAAACUGACACUG